CAGAGUUAGGGUCUUCUAGGCCCGACCUCCCAACCCUUUGUUUAACCAACUCUUGUUGCUUCGGCGGGCCCGUCCUUCACCGGACCGCCGGAGGACCGUCCUCGCGGUCCUCUGGCCCGCGCCCGUCGGUGGCCGUUUAUACCUAAACUCAUGAAUCCAAUCGUGCCUUUGUCUGAGUAUACAUGAAAAUAAAAGCA
rnacentral:misc_RNA from 1 species